rnacentral:misc_RNA from 1 species
GUGAAUCAUCAAAUCUUUGAACGCAAAUUGCACUCUCUGGUAUUCCGGAGAGUAUGCCUGUUUGAGGAUCAGUUAAAUCAAAAUCGGUGUUGUUGCUGCUUUUCGUGGUGAUGCGUCGGAAUUGUUUUGUCUUACUUUCGGCUAAGUGACUUUCAAUUUUGCCUGAUUAUCGAACGUAUUUAAAUUUCUUACGUACGUUUGUGAUAUCGAAUAUUUCAUUAGGUUCGGUCAUCCUCAUGAUUAGCAUGUAUAAU